UGGUAGUAUAGCCAAGCGGUAAGGCACAGACCCUGCAAGGUCUGUAACCUCUGGUUCAAAUCCAGAUACUGCAU
rnacentral:tRNA from 1 species